rnacentral:tRNA from 1 species
GUUUUUAUAGUUGAAUACAACAUUGGCUUUUCAGGUCAGGGGUCUAGGUUAAAAUCCUGGUAAAAAUA